AGAGUUUGAUCCUGGCUCAGAAUCAACGCUGGCGGCGUGCCUCAGACAUGCAAGUCGAACGAUUAAGACUCUCUUCGGAGAGUGUAUAAAGUGGCGCACGGGUGAGUAACACGUAGGUAAUGUGCCUUUGGGUGGGGAAUAACUUAGGGAAACUUAAGCUAAUACCGCAUAAUGCAGCGGCUCGACAUCGAGACAGUUGUUAAAGAUUUAUCGCCUAAAGAGCAGCCUGCGGCAGAUUAGCUAGUUGGUAAGGUAAUGGCUUACCAAGGCUACGAUCUGUAACCGACCUGAGAGGGUGGUCGGUCACACUGACACUGAAUAACGGGUCAGACUCCUACGGGAGGCAGCAGUCGGGAAUUUUGGGCAAUGGGCGAAAGCCUGACCCAGCAACGCCGCGUGAAGGAUGAAGUAUUUCGGUAUGUAAACUUCGUAAGAAUAGGAAGAAUAAAUGACGGUACUAUUUGUAAGGUCCGGCUAACUACGUGCCAGCAGCCGCGGUAAUACGUAGGGACCAAGCGUUGUUCGGAUUUACUGGGCGUAAAGGGCGCGUAGGCGGCGUGGUAAGUCAGCUGUGAAAUCUCCGAGCUUAACUCGGAACGGUCAGCUGAUACUGCUGUGCUAGAGUACAGAAAGGGCAAUCGGAAUUCUUGGUGUAGCGGUGAAAUGCGUAGAUAUCAAGAGGAACACCUGAGGCGAAGGCGGGUUGCUAGGCUGAUACUGACGCUGAAGCGCGAAAGCUAGGGUAGCAAACGGGAUUAGAUACCCCGGUAGUCCUAGCCCUAAACGAUGUAUGCUUGGUG
rnacentral:rRNA from 1 species